rnacentral:rRNA from 1 species
GUGGGGAAUAUUGGACAAUGGGCGAAAGCCUGAUCCAGUCAUGCCGCGUGUGUGAAGAAGGUCUUCGGAUUGUAAAGCACUUUAAGUUGGGAGGAAGGGCAGUAAGCUAAUACCUUGCUGUUUUGACGUUACCGACAGAAUAAGCACCGGCUAACUUCGUGCCAGCAGCCGCGGUAAUACGAAGGGUGCAAGCGUUAAUCGGAAUUACUGGGCGUAAAGCGCGCGUAGGUGGUUUUGUAAGUUGGAGGUGAAAUCCCCGGGCUCAACCUGGGAACUGCCUCCAAAACUGCAUGACUAGAGUACGGUAGAGGGUAGUGGAAUUUCCUGUGUAGCGGUGAAAUGCGUAGAUAUAGGAAGGAACACCAGUGGCGAAGGCGACUACCUGGACUGAUACUGACACUGAGGUGCGAAAGCGUGGGGAGCAAACAGGAUUAGAUACCCGUGUAGUCC